rnacentral:rRNA from 1 species
AACGAACGCUGGCGGCAGGCUUAACACAUGCAAGUCGAACGGGUGCAGCAAUGCAUCAGUGGCAGACGGGUGAGUAACACGUGGGAACCUUCCUAGGGGUACGGAACAACUCAGGGAAACUUGAGCUAAUACCGUAUACGUCCGUGAGGAGAAAGAUUUAUCGCCCUUAGACGGGCCCGCGUCGGAUUAGCUCGUUGGUGGGGUAACGGCCUACCAAGGCGACGAUCCGUAGCUGAUCUUAGAGGAUGAUCAGCCACACGGGGACUGAGACACGGCCCAGACUCCUACGGGAGGCAGCAGUGGGGAAUCUUGGACAAUGGGCGCAAGCCUGAUCCAGCCAUGCCGCGUGAGUGAAGAAGGUCUUCGGAUUGUAAAGCUCUUUUGCCAGGGACGAUAAUGACGGUACCUGGAGAAUAAGCCCCGGCAAACUUCGUGCCAGCAGCCGCAGUAA